UGGGGAAUCUUCCGCAAUGGACGAAAGUCUGACGGAGCAACGCCGCGUGUAUGAUGAAGGUCUUCGGAUUGUAAAGUACUGUCAUUGGGGAAGAACGGUUUUCUUGAAAAGAUUGAGAAGACAUGACGGUACCCAAGGAGGAAGCCCCGGCUAACUACGUGCCAGCAGCAGCGGUAAUACGUAGGGGGCAAGCGUUGUCCGGAAUUAUUGGGCGUAAAGGGCGCGUAGGCGGGCUUUUAAGUCCGGUGUGAAAGAUCAGGGCUCAACCCUGAGAGUGCAUCGGAAACUGGAGGCCUUGAGGACAGGAGAGGAAAGUGGAAUUCCACGUGUAGCGGUGAAAUGCGUAGAUAUGUGGAGGAACACCAGUGGCGAAGGCGACUUUCUGGACUGUAACUGACGCUGAGGCGCGAAAGCGUGGGGAGCAAACAGGAUUAGAUACCCUGGUAGUCCACGCCGUAAACGAUGAGUGCUAGGUGUAGAGGGUAUCGACCCCUUCUGUGCCGCAGUUAACACAAUAAGGCACUCCCGCCUGGGGGAGGUACGGCC
rnacentral:rRNA from 1 species